rnacentral:rRNA from 1 species
AUUGAACGCUGGCGGCAUGCCUUACACAUGCAAGUCGAACGGCAGCACGGGUGCUUGCACCUGGUGGCGAGUGGCGAACGGGUGAGUAAUACAUCGGAACGUACCUUAUCGUGGGGGAUAACGCAGCGAAAGCUGUGCUAAUACCGCAUACGCCCUGAGGGGGAAAGCGGGGGAUCGAAAGACCUCGCGCGAUUAGAGCGGCCGAUGCCUGAUUAGCUUGUUGGUGGGGUAAAAGCCCACCACGGCGACGAUCAGUAGCUGGUCUGAGAGGACGAUCAGCCACACUGGAACGGAGACACGGCCCAGACUCCUACGGGAGGCAGCAGUGGGGAAUUUUGGACAAUGGGGGCAACCCUGAUCCAGCAAUGCCGCGUGAGUGAAGAAGGCCUUCGGGUUGUAAAGCUCUUUUGUCAGGGAAGAAACACCGGCUCUAACACAGUCCGGGAAUGACGGUACCUGAAGAAUAAGCACCGGCUAACUACGUGCCAGCCGCCGCAGUAA